CAGCACCUCAAGUGGUCAGGAUGAUUAUUGAGCCUAAAGCAUCCGUAGCCGGCGCUGUAAGUUUUCGGUUAAAUCUGUACGCUCAACGUACAGGCUGCCGGGAAUACUGCAGCGCUAGGGAGUGGGAGAGGUAGACGGUACUCGGUAGGAAGGGGUAAAAUCCUUUGAUCUAUUGAUGACCACCUGUGGCGAAGGCGGUCUACCAGAACACGUCCGACGGUGAGGGAUGAAAGCUGGGGGAGCAAACCGGAUUAGAGACCCGAGUAGUCC
rnacentral:rRNA from 1 species